GCCAUUGUGGUCUAGUGGAUUGAGCAUUCGACUAUGAUUCUGGAGACCAGGGUUCGAAUCUCGGCCAGCCA